CCCCCCCUUUAUUACCCUUUGUGUCAUCCUCCACAGCUCCAGGGAAGGCACUCAAAAGUGGGGGGCAGGAAAGGGUCUCUGACUGAAGCAGAAGCCCAGAUUGGCUAGACUGGCUAGCCAGAUCUUGACUGUAUCUUCCUCUCCAGUGCUGAGAUUGAAAGCAAGCGCUGCCACAGGAGAACACUGGAGAUGUCCACGUCUGCCUUUGUAAGAUAGAUAUUGAAGGCUGUGUGGCUUAGAAAAUAUCUAUAGCAUUAGAUACUCAAGAACCAGGGAAAUAAUUACAAGAAAUCAAGAGCACAGAAUAUUUUCUUCCAUCAGUCCACAGAACCCUGAAACUCAACUAAUUCCAUCAAACACAGAAGAAGGCCCACCUUGACAGAUGGCCACAGAGGAUGUCAACAAUUUUUUGGA